rnacentral:rRNA from 1 species
GGGGGGACGCAGUAGGAUAGGCGAAGCGUGCGAUUGGAUUGCACGUCUAAGCAGUAAGGCUGAGUAUUAGGCAAAUCCGGUACUCAUUAAGGCUGAGCUGUGAUGGGGAGAAGACAUUGUGUCUUCGAGUCGUUGAUUUCACACUGCCGAGAAAAGCCUCUAGAUAGAAAAUAGGUGCCCGUACCGCAAACCGACACAGGUAGUCAAGAUGAGAAUUCUAAGGUGAGCGAGCGAACUCUCGUUAAGGAACUCGGCAAAAUGACCCCGUAACUUCGGGAGAAGGGGUGCUCUUUAGGGUUAACGCCCAGAAGAGCCGCAGUGAAUAGGCCCAAGCGACUGUUUAUCAAAAACACAGGUCUCUGCUAAACCGUAAGGUGAUGUAUAGGGGCUGACGCCUGCCCGGUGCUGGAAGGUUAAGAGGAGUGGUUAGCUUCUGCGAAGCUACGAAUCGAAGCCCCAGUAAACGGCGGCCGUAACUAUAACGGUCCUAAGGUAGCGAAAUUCCUUGUCGGGUAAGUUCCGACCCGCACGAAAGGCGUAACGAUUUGGGCACUGUCUCAACGAGAGACUCGGUGAAAUCAUAGUACCUGUGAAGAUGCAGGUUACCCGCGACAGGACGGAAAGACCCCGUGGAGCUUUACUGUAGCCUGAUAUUGAAAUUCGGCACAGCUUGUACAGGAUAGGUAGGAGCCUUUGAAACGUGAGCGCUAGCUUACGUGGAGGCGCUGGUGGGAUACUACCCUAGCUGUGUUGGCUUUCUAACCCGCACCACUUAUCGUGGUGGGAGACAGUGUCAGGCGGGCAGUUUGACUGGGGCGGUCGCCUCCUAAAAGGUAACGGAGGCGCUCAAAGGUUCCCUCAGAAUGGUUGGAAAUCAUUCAUAGAGUGUAAAGGCAUAAGGGAGCUUGACUGCGAGACCUACAAGUCGAGCAGGGUCGAAAGACGGACUUAGUGAUCCGGUGGUUCCGCAUGGAAGGGCCAUCGCUCAACGGAUAAAAGCUACCCCGGGGAUAACAGGCUUAUCUCCCCCAAGAGUUCACAUCGACGGGGAGGUUUGGCACCUCGAUGUCGGCUCAUCGCAUCCUGGGGCUGUAGUCGGUCCCAAGGGUUGGGCUGUUCGCCCAUUAAAGCGGUACGCGAGCUGGGUUCAGAACGUCGUGAGACAGUUCGGUCCCUAUCCGUCGUGGGCGUAGGAAAUUUGAGAGGAGCUGUCCUUAGUACGAGAGGACCGGGAUGGACAUACCUCUGGUGUACCAGUUGUCGUGCCAACGGCAUAGCUGGGUAGCUAUGUGUGGACGGGAUAAGUGCUGAAAGCAUCUAAGCAUGAAGCCCCCCUCAAGAUGAGAUUUCCCAACUUCGGUUAUAAGAUCCCUCAAAGAUGAUGAGGUUAAUAGGUUCGAGGUGGAAGCAUGGUGACAUGUGGAGCUGACGAAUACUAAUCGAUCGAAGACUUAAUC